rnacentral:rRNA from 1 species
UCCUACGGGAGGCAGCAGUGAGGAAUACUGGUCAAUGGGCGAGAGCCUGAACCAGCCAAGUCGCGUGAAGGAUGACGGCCCUAUGGGUUGUAAACUUCUUUUGUCAGGGAGCAAUUGGGUCCACGUGUGGGCUUAGCGAGAGUACCUGAAGAAAAAGCAUCGGCUAACUCCGUGCCAGCAGCCGCGGUAAUACGGAGGAUGCGAGCGUUAUCCGGAUUUAUUGGGUUUAAAGGGUGCGUAGGCGGAAUAUCAAGUCAGCGGUAAAAAUUCGGGGCUCAACCUCGUCGUGCCGUUGAAACUGAUGU